UACGUAGGGUGCAAGCGUUAAUCGGAAUUACUGGGCGUAAAGCGUGCGCAGGCGGUUUUGUAAGUCUGAUGUGAAAUCCCCGGGCUCAACCUGGGAAUUGCAUUGGAGACUGCAAGGCUAGAAUCUGGCAGAGGGGGGUAGAAUUCCACGUGUAGCAGUGAAAUGCGUAGAGAUGUGGAGGAACACCGAUGGCGAAGGCAGCCCCCUGGGUCAAGAUUGACGCUCAUGCACGAAAGCGUGGGGAGCAAACAGG
rnacentral:rRNA from 2 species